rnacentral:lncRNA from 1 species
CAACUGAGGCCUCCAUAACUUGGUUUUCCACAGAGAUACAUGUAAAACUAGCUAAAACUGGCCAGACUGAGGCGAACUACCAUUGUGGGCGGUCGAACCAGCACCAAAGCACGACAGUACCGCCGUGUCGGAACCCUAAAAUAUGCUGAAAAGGAUUUUCAACAUUAAUUUUAGAUUUUUGGGGUAUUUUUAGGUACGUAACGAGUAUUUU